UAUAAAAGAAGGUAAAAACAAAAUACAAGGCAAAUGCCAGGUGUUUUGCAGUCACCUGACAAAAUUAAUUCUAAAACUAAAAAUAAAUAAAUAAAUUUUCGAAGGAAAGAAAAAAAGAAAUCAAACAUCUCACAGCUUAAACCCUCUCAGCAUCUAUUGAUAUUGAAGAGCCAGACCAGAAAAAUCCCCAUCUUGAAGAAAAGGAAGAACACGGAAAAGCUCAGAUUAGGGAAGCCAAAAGGGGUAACAAAUCCGAAUCCUGCAACCAAGAUGUUGUGCGACAGCAUUCCCACUCCCCAUAUGCAAGAACAAAAGCAGACCAAGGAAGCAGAAGAAAACAAAACUACUCUGCAUAGAGGUAAUACCGAUCUUCUUCUAUAAGUCGAUAAAUCUGCUCCGGGCCAUCCUCCACCCAAAAGGAGAGAGAUCAAAAUAGCUAGACAAGGCCUUUUUAAUCACGGUAAGAGAAUCCCCUUCUACAACCAUCUUAUCAAGUCCCAAAUGUCGAGCAAAAGCCAUGGAUUAAAGACAGGCCAACGCUCUUCAGCAAAUGGUCUCAACUCGGGAGGAAGAACCGGUAAUAGACAUAAAACCAUCCAUUCUGGUUCUAUAUUUGUUCGAAUAAAAUGCUUAGCCAAUUCCAUGAGUCUAACCAAAAAAUCCUUUCUUCUUCCAAUUUUUCGAUCUUCCCAUUCAUUACCCGUGAGGCCUUCUUCUCCUCAUUCUUUCCAUUCUACCACCGACUUUCCCAUUUCUUAUUACAGUCCCAGUAUUGGAUCUGUUGGUAUUUUUACAAAAACUUGCAUCAAAAUUGACCUUCAGGAUAGGACCUUUAGGGGGUUUCCAUCAAUUCAAAUGUUUUUCCAUAGGAGGAUCCAUCCUGCUCUGAUGCAUCGAGAGUUCCAAAUAGUACCCCUUGAGAAAAGUAACCAAUUCAUCCACAAUCUGUCUUUUUCCUUCAUGUAAGAGUUUAUUUCGAGAGAACCAUAAUGCUCAUGUUGUAAUUACAAAUUAUGUUCUUUUGUCUCCCGUAUAAGUCUGGAAGAUACUGCCAAAAAGACUAUUUACAUCAGAGACCUGAGUCGCAUCCUAGGCGAAAUCCAACUUCCCAAACACGUUAUACACAAAUGGACAGGCACAGAUAGCAUGGAAGACAUCCUCCACCCCCACACCACAACGAGAACAAACUAGAUUAGAAGCGACCCUUUUAAUACAAAGAUUAUGCCUAGAGGGAAUGUUAUUUUUGAGAAAUAUCCAAUUAGCAAUUUUAAUCUUUGAAGGCACUUGUAAUUGCCAAAUAUUAUCGUAAAGGGUUUUAUCAGUAGGCUGUACUUCUGUACAAUUAUUACUCUGAAAAAGCCUAUACCCAGACUUGACAGUAUAAAAACCCGUAUUAUCCCAGCUCCAAACCAGCCUAUCAUCACUCAGCUCACUUGCUAAAGGAAUACAGAGAAUAUCCUCAGUAGUCAGUCAUCAAAGAAGGGACGAAUCAAAUUAUCAUCGAAUCAAAUUAUCAUCCCAUUGUCUUUGAUUUGGUAAAAUAAGAUCAACAACCAUUUGUAAACCACUAACUGGAGGUGCUUGGAUUUUGCGAGGUUCUGCCCUUGAUAUCCAAUAAUCCUCCCAAAUACUCACAUUAUUCCCAGAACCAGUUUACCAUUUAAAACCUUUUUCCAAAAGACCCCGAGCACUCCAUAUGCUACACCAGACUAAGGAAGGUUGGUUUCCUAACCUUGCUUUUAAAAAAUCAAAAUUGCAAAAAUAUUUAGCACAUAACACUCUCGCCAUGAGAGAGUUAGGAUUCAUCAAAAUGCGCCAUCCAUGCUUAACCAACAUAGCAAUAUUAAACUUUGCAAGGUCUUUAAACCCCGUACCUCCAUUGUUCUUCGAAAUGCAAAGGUCCCUCCACGAGCACCAGUGUAUCCCUCUUCGAUCCUUAUCCUUUUGCCACCAAAACUUACUAAUAAUUGAUUCCAUAUUAUGACAUAAAGAUUUGGGCAGUAAAAAACAAGACAUGUCAUAAACAGGAAUAACCUGUAAAAUAGAUAUAAUAAAAACCUCUUUAACUCGUGAUAAUAGUUUCGAACCCUAACUCACAACACGCUUCUGUAUUUUAUCCUUAAUAUCCUGAAGGAUCAAUCUUUUUAUUUCUACCAACAAAAGGAGGAAACCUUAAAUACUUUCAGCACAAAAGGUACUUUGAAGAUACAACUCCCUCGCGACCAUUUCCUUAGCAUUUUGGAAAGUAUUACUACUGAAAAAUAUGGCCAAUUUCUCAUAAUUGAUGCCCUGACCCGAACAACUAGCAAACUCAUCAAUUAUUCUUCUGAUAGUGCGCACCGAUUCAACCGUGGUUUGUCCAAAAAUCAAACUAUCACCCGCAAAGAAUAGGUGAGUCAAUGGUGGACUGCCUCUACUUGCCUUGAUUCCUCUCAAAGUCCCUUCAUUACAGGCCCUUUUCAAAUAGGGAGGAAAAACCCUGACUACAUAUUAAAAAAACAUAGGGGCUAAAAGGAUCCUCUUGGCGAAGCCUUCUAGAUGGCCUAAAACAAUCAUCUUGUUUACCGUUAAUGACAAUAGAGUAGCUAACACUUGUAAUGCAAUUCAUAAUUCGGGACACCCAAUCAUCCUAAAAACCCAUCUUCUUGAACAUUUUCCAAAAAACCCCACUCCACCCUUUAAUAGGGUUUGCUCAUAUCAAGCUUCAGAGCAAAAGAGCCUACUUUCCCGGUCCUAUUAUUUUUCAAACUAUGGAACAUCUCAUAAGCAAUAAUAAUAUUAUUAGAAAUUAAUUGCCCCAGGACAAAAGCACUUUGAGCUUCGUCGAUACAUAAAUGUAGAACUUUCUGGAAAUGGUUUGCAAUUGUCUUAGAGACGAUUUUAUAUAUCACAUUACACAAACUAAUGGGAAGGAAAUGAGCCAUAGAGUUGGGAAUAUUACACUUUGGAAUCAAUACAAUAUUUUUAAAAUUAAUAACAUCCAUGGGAAUUUUAUUUUUGAGUAAAGUGUGACAAUAGUCUAUUAUUUCAGACCCAAUAAUAUGCCAAAACUUUUGGAAAAAAAGAGUUGGCAUACCAUCCUUUCUUGAAGCUUUGGUUGGAUGCAUUCAUUUCGAAGCCACAUAGAUCUCUUCAUCGGUAAGAGGUGAUCGUAGUCAGGCAUUCAUCUCCUUAGUAAUACAACAGGACACACCCUCAAGCAAACUAUCACAACUGCCGACACCUUGUGAAGAGAACAAGUCAGCAAAAUACCCACACGUUCUAAAUCCUCUUGAUCAUAUAAAUUCCUACCAUCCGGAUCCUUCAAAGAUUUAAUUUUAUUAACACGACGCCCCUUGGAUGCGAAAUUUUGGAAAAAAAAGACGUACUGCGAUCCCCUUCAUUCAACCAGUUGACUUUGGCUUUCUGUUCCCAGUACCGCUCCGCCUUAUUAGCCUCUCAGUUAAUCUUAAGCUUAGUGUCAACAAUUUCCAUUAAACAUCAUCAUUGGGGUGCAACUCAUAAAGUUCCUUGAGUCUCCUUUUCAGGCUAGCUUCAUUUGUUUUAUUUGCAUGUUUCAAUUGUGUUGCCGAAGACCAUAAUCCAUCGACCAUAGCUACAAGUUUCUCAAGCACUGACCCUACUGGAUGACUUCAUAUUCUUUCCAUUUCUUGUUCACAUGAAUCCUCCAUGAUCCAAUGGGCCUCGAAUUUUCAUUUCUAAGGGUGAUACUCCGCGUGAAAAUCCUUUGCGUUAACAAGGACUGGGUAAUGAUAAAAAAUAGAAUGUAAAAGAUGCAUCACACUGACAUUAGGGAAUUUUCGUAUCCAGUUAUCAUUGGCAACCUCCUAUCCAAUAUUUCUCUAAUAUUUGUUUCUUCCAAAUGCCCCAUUCAUAGCCUAAAUCAUGCAAAAAACAAUCAUUGAGGACCGAUAAAAAAUUAUCCAUUUACAGAAUAUUUCUCAUGCAAAAAAAAAAAAUAAUUAUAGAAUUUUCAUAUCUAAUUAUCAUUGGCGUAAAGAAUUUUAUUGAAGUCGCAAGCCAUAAGCCAAGGAAUAUCGAGGUUGUGGUUCAAAUGUCGUAAGAGGUUUCAUGAAUUGUAUCGACGUUGUUCUUCUUGAUCACCAUAAAACCAAGUAAAUCUCCACGGCUUUGUAUUCGAUGUUGGGAAAUGUCCCCAUAUUGUAGUAAACAUGUAACUGUUUUCUAUUUAUUUGAAAAAUAAAAAAUAAAUAAAGUUAAUUUCAUAUUUCA